UCCUAGUUAACCUAGGCAGUCUCGUUAUAGUUCCCACCUUAAAUGUUGGCAAAUAACGAUAAGGGUUGCGCUCGUUGCGGGACUUAACCCAACACCUCACGGCACGAGCUGACGACAGCCAUGCAGCACCUAUAAAAAGGUCCUUACGGAAAAUAACAUUUCUGUUAUCGCCCUCUUUAUUUCGAGCCUGGGUAAGGUUCUUCGCGUUGCAUCGAAUUAAACCACAUGCUCCACUGCUUGUGCGGGCCCCCGUCAAUUCUUUUGAGUUUCAGCCUUGCGACUGUACUCCUCAGGCGGUAUACUUAACGCGUUAGCUCCGAUACAACUAGGGUUGAGCCUAGUUACAUCAAGUAUACAUCGUUUACGGCAAGGACUAC
rnacentral:misc_RNA from 1 species